rnacentral:tRNA from 10 species
GGGCGCGUAGCUCAGGGGUAGAGCGCCUCCCUUACAAGGAGGAUGUCGGCGGUUCGAAACCGUCCGCGCCCA